GUGGGGAAUCUUAGACAAUGGGCGCAAGCCUGAUCUAGCCAUGCCGCGUGAGCGAUGAAGGCCUUAGGGUUGUAAAGCUCUUUCGUGGGGGAAGAUAAUGACUGUACCCCAAGAAGAAGCCCCGGCUAACUCCGUGCCAGCAGCCGCGGUAAUACGGAGGGGGCUAGCGUUGUUCGGAAUUACUGGGCGUAAAGCGCACGUAGGCGGACCAGAAAGUCAGAGGUGAAAGCCCGGGGCUCAACCCCGGAACUGCCUUUGAAACUCCUGGUCUUGAGGUCGAGAGAGGUGGGUGGAAUUCCGAGUGUAGAGGUGAAAUUCGUAGAUAUUCGGAGGAACACCAGUGGCGAAGGCGGCCCACUGGCUCGAUACUGACGCUGAGGUGCGAAAGCGUGGGGAGCAAACAGGAUUAGAAACCCCGGUAGUCC
rnacentral:rRNA from 1 species